AUCUACGGCCUUUCCACCCUGAAUGUGCCCAAUCUUGUCUAAUCUCGGAAGCUAAGCAGGGUCGGGACUGGUUAGUACUUGGAUGAGAGACCACCUAGGAAGACCAGGUGCUGUAGGCA
rnacentral:rRNA from 1 species